UGUGACUGUGAGCAGGAGGCAGUCAGGGAACAUGAAGCAGUAGUGCCUGCACUGCUUAGCUGCACGCUUACAACGGAUUGUUGUCUGGAGCGAGAGGGCAGCAGGCCAUGCAUGAACACACAACCAGGCAAGGGGAGAUAAUGGUGCCCAGCUACUCUUAGGAACUAAAGAGAGUGUAGCUGUCUGUGUCCUCACUGGCAGAGAGCACAGAGUGUCUGUCUUUGCUAACACAGAGUAGUGGGACUUAUAUUUGAUCCUGUAUUAGGUUCAAGAGUUUUGUUCAUCUCAGCUCUUCUUGUCAAACAUGGGGUGCUCAUCAUCCAGUGCACAGACUGUUGAUCAAGAGAAAAGACCAGGUACAAAGCCGGAGGAGAGCAAUAAAGAUACAGCAGCAGUCACAAACGGCAUCAUCGCAGAAGAUGCACAAACCAUCGAGGACCAGAUGCAGCUGCCAGUGCAGACUGCCUUACCACAAGAUCUUCAACCAGGAACUGAUGAUGAGGCAGGGGAUGUGUUAGUGGCCAUAGAGGCCCAAGAAGACCUAGGCUCUGGGGAAGACCUUCUGACUGCGCCUGAACCUGCUGUCCCUGAAGAACCAGCUUCUGAAGCUCCUUCUACUGAACCUCCUUCUACUGAAGCUCCUUCUACUGAAGCUCCUUCUACUGAACCUCCUUCUACUGAACCUCCUUCUACUGAAGCUCCUUCUACUGAACCUGAGGCUCUUCUAGUCGGGGUGGAGGCAGUACCCCCUGUGGAGGAAGUUGCCCCCAUAGAAAAUGAGGUAAAAGCCCUUGUUGAAGCUACAGGAGAGGCAGUUGAUGUUGUAGCGGUGCAGGAAAUAGCCCCUGCUGUUAUCGAAGAGGUGCCUGCUGUGCCAGCUGAGGCCACCCCUGCCCUUGAAUCUAUCCUACCAGAGCCAGCAGAGGCUGCAGUGGUUGUGGAAGAGGCAGUAACCCUGAUCACUGAGGUCCCUGUAGAAGAAACUGUUCCUGUGGAGGCUCUGACUGACACUGUGGCACCAGAGGCUGCUUUAGUAGAACCAGCUCAAUCCAUGGAACCAGGGGAAACUUUAGCACCGGCAGCAAAUGAAAUUGCAGCACCAGGUGAAGCUGCAGUACCAAGUGAGAAUUUAGGGACAGCUGAAUCCUCAGCACCUGUAGAGUCUGCCCAGCCUGUUAUAGAUAGUGAAAUUGCUGCAGCAACCAUCCCAGAGAUGCUGCCAUUAACUCCAGUCACAGCUGAGGUCCAAGCUGAACCUCAGGCUGCUACUGAAGAGGCCUUGGACACUCCUGUGGCCCCUGCUGAGACUCCCCCACCAGCAGAGGCAUGCGCAGACGCCACCCCUGCACCGGCUCCAGAAGCUGAACCUGCUACUGCUGAGGCGGCCCAGGUGGUAGAGGCUCCAGGAUCCACAGUGGAGACCCCUGCAGAAGCCCCCCUAGCAAAUGUGGCCUCAGAGCCAGUGGUGGACGACACAGCCCCGACAGAGGUCACCCCAGCACACUCUGAAACACCCUCAGCACCAGCCCCUGCUGCUGAUCCAGCCCCCGAACCUUCACUGGAAGAAUCCUCCCAGGAGACUGAGGGCGAGAAAAGCAACAAGGAGGACUGAGUUGGUAAUCUGCAGGGAUACUGAAAACGUCUGAAGCUACAAACACAGGAUAUAGCAAGAAAACAUGACAUUUACAGUGUUGUCUCAUCAGCUUUGACCAAACCAAAUGACACCAGAUACAUUAAUAUUCAACGUGCCUUAAUAACUUGUUUUAUAGGAAAGAUCAGGAUUCUUCCUACUUUUGCAAAUAUAAAACCUUUAUGAUGAGUUUUUAAACUGAAAAC
ensembl:lncRNA